GUGCCAGCCGCCGCGGUAAUACGGAGGGUGCAAGCGUUAAUCGGAAUUACUGGGCGUAAAGCGCGCGUAGGUGGUUUGGUAAGUCGGAUGUGAAAGCCCCGGGCUUAACCUGGGAAUUGCAUUCGAUACUGCCUGACUAGAGUGUGGUAGAGGGAAGUGGAAUUCCGCAUGUAGCGGUGAAAUGCAUAGAGAUGCGGAGGAACACCAAUGGCGAAGGCAACUUCCUGGACCAACACUGACACUGAGGUGCGAAAGCGUGGGUAGCAAACAGGAUUAGAAACCCCAGUAGUCC
rnacentral:rRNA from 1 species